CUUCCCACGCGGUCUCUGGGCUGGUUGAGCUGCGCCGCUGCAGGUAGUGCUGAGUUGCUCCAGUGCCACUGGGUUAGGGUCUCCACAACCGAGCUGGUCUCAGCAAGUGGUGUCCAUACAUGGGGCUCGAACCUGGGUUGAAGGGUCGCCAGAGCGACGGUUGGAGAACGUGGAACUAAGCUGGAGGACACCUGAGUACUCUUAAGCAAUCCCCGUGAGCCAGGAGAGCGCAUAGCACAGCUCCUGAUUGUGCCAUAUGUGGAAAUGGGGAAAAGUGAAAUUAAACGAACAGGAGGAUUUGGAAGCACAAAUAAACAAGGUGAAGCAGCUUAUUGGGUGAAUCAAAUUACUGAUAAAUGUCCUACCUGUGAAAUAACUAUUCAGGGAAAGAAAUUUAAAGGUUUGGUAGAUACAGGAGCAGACAUUUCAGUUAUUUCUCUACAGCACUGGUCAUCCUCCUGGCCAAUUCAACUCGCUCAAUUUAACAUAGUUGGAGUUGGUAAAGCCCCUGAAGUAUAUCAAAGUAGUUAUAUUUUGCACUGUGAAGGGCCCGAUGGACAACCUGGGACUAUUCAACCAAUUGUAACUUCUGUACCUAUAAAUUUAUGGAGGAGAGAUUUAUUACAACAAUGGGGAGCACAAGUUCUAAUUCCAGAACAAUUAUAUAGCCCUCAAAGUCAACAUAUGAUGCAUGGAAUGGGGUAUGUCCCUGGUAUGGGACUAGGAAAAAAUUUGCAAUGUUUGAAGGAACCACUUCAAGCAGGAAGACAAAGUUCCCACCAAGGUUUAGGGUAUCAUUUUUGAUCGUGGCCAUUGUUAAGCCUCCAGAACCUAUACCUUUAAAAUGGUUGACAGAUAAGCCAAUUUGGAUAGAAUAAUGGCCACUAAAUAAAGAGAAACUGGAGGCUUUAGAGGACUUAGUUACUGAAUAAUUAGAAAAAGAACACAUAGCUCCAACAUUUUCCCCUUGGAAUUCUUCAGUCUUUAUUAUUAAGAAAAAAUCAGGUAAAUGGAGAAUAUUAACUGACUUAAGAGCCGUUAAUUCCGUUAUACAACCUACAGGGGCAUUACAGCCAGGAUUGUCUUUUCCUGCUAUGAUUCUGAAAAAUCAGCCUUUAAUAGCCAUAGAUUUAAAAGACUGUUUCUUUACUAUCCCCUUAGCUGAGCAAGACUGUGAACAGUUUGCAUUUACAAUUCCUGCAGUAAACAACCUGCAGCCUGCUAAGCAUUUGCAUUGGAAAGUGUUGCCAGAAGGCAUGUUAAAUAGUCCAACAAUUUGCCAGACUUAUGUAGGGCAAGCAAUUGAACCUACUUGUAAAAAUUUUCACAGUGUUACAUUAUUCAUUAUGUGGACGAUAUACUUUGUGCUGCCGCCCCUCGAGAAAUAUUACUCCAAUGUUAUGAUCACUUGCAAAACUCGAUUUCUCGUGCCAGUUUAAUUAUAGCUACUUAAAAAAUUCAGACUACUACUCCUUACUCCUACUUGGGGAACUUAGUAAAUGACACUACCAUUGUGCCACAGAAAGUAACCAUAUAGUAACCAUAUACGUCGGGAUCAAUUGAAAACAUUAAAUGACUUUAAAAAAUUACUAGGGGACAUUAAUUGCAUAUGACCUGCUCUAGGCAUUCCUACCUAUGCCAUGAGUAAUCUAUUUUCUAUCCUUAGAGGAGAUCCUAGUCUCACUAGCCCUUGGCAAUUAACAAAUGAGGCUGAGGCAGAGUUACAGCUGAUUGAAAAGCAAGUCUGUAAAGCUCAAAUGAAUAGAAUAGAUCAAGAGAAGACUCUAGAUUUGCUAAUUUUUUCAACUCAGUAUUCACCUACUGUGUUAUUGUCCAAGAGCAGGACUUAGUAGAAUGGCUUUUUCUUCCACAUGCUAAUUCACAGACUUUGACCCCUUAUUUGGAUCGAAUUGCUACUAUGAUAGGAAAUGGGAGAACUCGGAUUGUUAAAUUACAUGGAUAUGAUCCUGGAAAAAUUAUUGUUCCUCUUACAAAGGCACAAAUACAGCAACUUUUAUAAAUAGUCUUACUUGGCAAACCCACGUAGCUGACUUUGUGGGUAUUUUCAAUAACCAUUUUCCUAAAACAAAAUUAUUUCAAUUUUUGAAAUUAACUAAUUGGAUUCUCCCUAAAAUAACUAAAUUUAAACCAAUUGAAAGUGCUGAAAAUGUCUUCACAGAUGGGUCUAGUAAUGGUAAAGCUUCUUAUUCUGGAUCGAAAGGUAAAGUUUUCCAGACGCCCUAUACUUCGGCUCAAAAAGCAGAGCUUGUAGCUAUAAUUGAGGUAUUGACUGCUUUUGAUAUACCUAUUAAUGUGAUUUCUGAUUCUUCAUAUGUGGUUCAUUCCACACAAUUAAUUGAAAAUGCUCAGUUACGAUUUCAUACAGAUGAACAACUGAUGACUUUAUUUACCCAACUGCAAACAGCAAUUAGGAGUAGAAUGCACCCUUUCUACAUUACUCAUAUUCGGGCUCAUACACCUCUUCCAGGACCUUUGACUCCAGGGAAUCAAAUGGCUGAUCGCCUAGUUGCUACUGCAAUAUCUAAUGCCAGACACUUUCACAAUUUAACCCAUGUUAAUGCCUCUGGUCUCAAACGCAGAUACAGCAUUACCUGGACAGAAGCUAAAGCUAUUAUCCAGUGAUGCCCAACUUGUCAAAUGGUGCAUUCCUCGUCUUUUACAGGGGGAGUUAAUCCUCGAGGAUUGGAACGUAAUUCUCUUUGGCAAAUGGAUGUCACCCACGUUCCCUCGUUUGGGAGACUAGCUUAUGUACAUGUAUGUGUGGACACCUUUUCUCACUUUGUCUGGGCUACAUGCCAAUCAGGAGAGUCUUCUGCCUGAGUUAAACAUCACCUUUUGCAGUGUUUUGUGGUGAUGGGCAUUCCAGCUUCUAUUAAAACAGAUAACGUCCCAGGCUAUACUAGCCAAGCUCUAGCUACAUUUUUCUCUAUAUGGAAUACUAAACACAUUACUGGCAUUCCGUAUAAUUCUCAAGGACAAGCCAUAGUGGAAAGAAUGAAUCCCUCCCUGAAACAGCAGUUGCAAAAGCAAAAAGGGGGAAACAGGGACUAUGGGAUACCCCAUAUGCAAUUGAAUCUAGUAUUAUUGACUUUAAAUUUUUUGAGACUGCCUAAAGGCCAGAUGCUAUCAGCAGCUGAAUAGCAUCUACAGAAACCAGCUGCAAAGACAGAAGCAGAACAACUGGUUUGGUGGAGAGAGCCAAUGAUAAAAAGUUGGGAAAUGGGUAGAAUAAUAACUUGGGGUAGAGGUUAUCCUUGUGUUUCUCCAGGACCAAAUCAACUGCCAAUUUGGAUAUCAUCGAGGCACCUGAAACCUUAUCAUGAGCCUGAUGCUGAGGAAUAGAUUCUGGGAGGAUCCCGAGGAUCCCCUGGUUGCAGCCAUGUUGAGACUGACGCUGAGGGGGACCCCAACUGUCACGAGCAACACCCAUCGAACGCAGCCACCUACCUGGGGACAGAUCAAGAAGCUGUCACAGAUGGCAGAAGAAAACCUAAGGAAAGUGGGACAACCAGUCACAAUGAGUAAUUUAAUGAUAGCUAUGAUAGUGGUGAUCACCAUUGCCAUGAGUAUUCCUUCAACAAGGGCUGGCACAGAGGACAAUUAUACUUAUUGGGCGUAUUUAUCAAUCUUGGCUGGCAAUAAUGCCUGGAUGUAAUCACUCUAUGACACAGUUACACAUGCUUUCUGGUCUCCGUAUUUACCAUAAUAAAUCUGCUCCUGUAAUUGAGGUAUACUGCCCUCAAAAACCUAUUUGUAAACAGAAUUGGACCUGGCUAGAAAUAAUGAAUGUAUUUGUUUGGGAAGAUUGCAUUGCAAAACAGGCAGAGGUGCUGUGCAACAAUUCCCGUGGAAUCAUUAUUGAUUGGUCCCCUAAGGGGAUGUUUAGCUUGAAUUGCACCUGUCAGUCUGUGUGCCACAGCCACACUAUGUUCAGCUGGUCUGAACAAAAUGGUCAAAUGGUAGAAAUGGUAAGAAGUAUGGCAAGAGUUCCUAUUAUUUGAAAACAUGGUGGUAUAGUGGCACCUCAACCUCAAAUGAUAUGGCCCGCUCUAGGAGCUUAACAUAAGGAUUUGUGGAAACUAUUAAUGGCUCUUAAUAAGAUCAAAAUUUGGGAGAGAGUAAAAAAGCAUCUAGAAGGACACUCUACAAACUUGUCUUUGGAUAUUGCAAAAUUAAAAGAACAAAUAUUUAAAGCAUCCCAGGCACACCUGACCUUAAUGCCAGAAAUAGGAGUGCUUGAAGGAGUGUAGACAGAUUAGCAGGUAGUAACCCAUUAAAAUAGAUAAAAACACUUGGAAGCUCUGUGAUUUCAAUGAUGAUGGUGCUUUUAAUCUGUGUUGUUUGUCUUUGUAUAGUCUGCAGCUCCCGACUCCUGCAAGAAGUAGCUCACCAUGAUAAAGCCACCUUUGCAUUUAUCAUCUUGCAAAAACAAAAAGGGGGAACAUGUUGGGAACAGGCCCCCAAAUCUGGCCAUAAACUGGCCCCAAAACUGACCAUAAACAAAAUCUCUGCAGCACUGUGACAUGUUCGUGAUGGCUAUGACACCCACCCUGAAGGUUGUGGGUUUACUGUAAUGAGGGCAAGGAACACCUGGCCCACCCAGGGCAGAAAACUGCUUAAGGCGUUCCUAAGCCACAGACAAUAGCAUGAGUGAUCUAUGCAUUAAGGACAUGUUCCUGCUGCAGAUAACUAGCCCAACCCAUCCUUUUGUUUUGGCCCAUCCCUUUGUUUCCUGUAAGGAAUGCUUUUAGUUAAUCUGUAAUCUAUAGAAACAAUGGUUAUCACUGGCUUGCUGUCAGUAAAUAUGUGGGUUAAACUCUGUUUGGGGCUCUCAGAUCUGAAGGCUGUCAGCCCCCUGGAUUUCCCACUCCACACUCUAUAGUUCUGUGUGUGUGUGUGUGUGUGUGUGUGUGUGUGUGUUUCUUUAAUUCCUCUAGUGCUGCUGGGUUAGGGUCUCCACGACUGAGCUAGUCUCAGCAGUAUAAAAAUCAGAAUAUUAAUUUGGCAACAUUUGGUAAUAUCAAUGCAGAAUAUUUAUCAGAAAUCAAAUGUUAUCACCAAAAAUCUACUCUACUUUGUUAUCCAGGAGAUGCAAUACAAAACCCAUUAAUUAAAACAUUAACAGAUACUAUUAAAAUACUUUGGGAUAAGGUCAGAAAUGCUAAAUGUUACUUAUUAUUUUAGACACAUUACCUGAUGCGAGGCAUAUAGUGCAGAUGAUUAUGGUUAGAGUUGUGAUUUUCUAAACUCAAAUACUUCUAUAUGUGAACAUUUUUGGGAGAUUUUUGUCACAACUGGAGAAAGAUUAUUUUUAAAUUUUAGUAAACUACUUACAAAAACUGAACCAGACAAAAAUAAUUCAAGAAGCUAGAAAUAUGACAACAUGGUGCAAUAGGAAAUCCUUGAAUAAAAAAUAUAUAUAUGUAUAUAUACACCAUAAAAUAUAGAAUGGUAUAUUCUGUAUCAUUCUAUAUUCCUUUUCUAAAGCAUCAUUAUUAUUAUUUGAGAUGAGGGGGAGAUCUAACCAUGUUGCCUGGGCUGGUCUUGAACCCCUGUCCUCAAGCAAUCUUCCUUCCUCAGCCUCCUGAGUAGUUGGGAUUACAGACACAUACCACUAUGCCCACCUUAAAGCUUGCUUGCUUGCUUGCUUGCUUUUUUUUUUUUUUUUUUUUGAGACAGGAUCUUGCUCUGUUGCUCAGGUUGGAGUGAAGUGGCACGAUCUCAGCUCACUGCAACACUCCAGCCUGAGCAACAGAGCAGACUCCAUCUUGGGGAAAGAAAGAAAAAAAAAAAGAACUAUACAUCUACCAAAAGCUUCAGUUAAAUGUUUGGGUAUAUUGAAAACACACUGGAUAUAAAUUUGAAACCACUGUUAAACGUGUGACAGGAAAAUCGAGUUGAGACUGCCAUGCCCGUGUCAACUGACCAUGGGUUCUUGGGCUCUCAAUGCAAUAGAACAUUGACAUGAGGCCAAAAGAGUUUUCUCAAAGCUUCACUGGAGCUUUUGUCCAGCCAUAAGGGAGGCAGAACGAGAGAGAAAGAGAGAUAGAGAGAGACAGAGAGAGAGAGAGAGAGAGUAUUCCCUGACAGACUCCACCUAUAAAAGAACAGGUAGGACUUUUUUAUUAGGCAAAGUACAGAACUGACAUCAGAAGUAGAGUGUACACAGGCUGGGCAAGGCAAACAAUGUGAGGGGUAGGGUAGCAGGUCAGCAUAUCCAGUUGUGAUGGUUAUCUUGAGUAAUGGGCCACCUGGUAGUCUGGCCUGUGACAACAAGACUAUAAAUCAAUUGUCCAGCAGCAUUCCUUUCUGAGGUGGGACACUCUGCAACCUUGGUUAGCUCCUAAAGCCAGUUCCUGGAAUUCUUUAAGUAAAAAGACUAUUAGCAGCGAGGUAAUGGUGUGGGUUUUGUGAUGUGUGGGAAUGCUCUAAUGGGGGUGAACCAAAGCCAGGCUCUGUCUCUACUGUGUCUCACCAGUAAAAACACAAUUACAAACAGCAUGCAAUGCUCUUUUUUGUGAUGAUGGUUAAUAAAGAAUACACAUUCUAAAAUACCAGCAAAAGUUCUACUUUCAAACAUAUGUCUAAAUUUAUUAGCUAAGUACUGACCUGGUAUGAUGCUUUAAGUAAAACUGAUGGUUUAAACAAAAUGACAGAGAAAAAUCAAAAUGCAAUGUCAAAAAAUUUUAAUGUACAUAAUGCUCUCAAAAACCUCAGAGGGAUUAAGAAAUUCAUUUUUUACCUUUCUUAAAAAAUAUAUAUUUUUGGGGACAAGAUCUCAAGCUCUUGGCCUCAAGCAAUCCUCCUGCCUUGUCCUCCUAAAAGUGCUGGGACUACAGGCAUGAGCCAUUGCGCCUGGCCUAAGAAAUUCUUCAAAGGAAAGCUAAGUGAUAAUGCUUACAAAAAGAUAGAUUACUGAGUUUAAAAUAAAUUGCAGAGUCUCUUGACAUUCCUUUCAAUUUCUCCUGCAUAGAGAAUAUUAGAAAAAGGGGAUUUCAAUUGCAAAUCCCUCAGCCCAUCUAUGUUCCAAAACUAAAUUUUAAAAUCAAUUUCUUUUUUAUUCUACAUUGGAAACUGCAAUGUCAUUGUUUUUUCUUUUUCUUUUUUUUUUUUGGAUGGAGUCUCUCUCUGUCACCCAGGCUGGAGUACAGUGGUGUGAUCUCGGCUCACUGCAACCUCCACCUCCCAGAUUCAAGCAAUUCUCCUGCCUCAGCCUCCCGAGUCGCUGGGACUGCAGGGGCCCACCACCACGCCCAGCUAAUUUUUGUGCUUUUAGUAGAGAUGGGGUUUCACCAUGUUAGCCAGGAUGGUCUCAAACUCCCGACCUCAGGUGAUCCGCCUGCCUUGGCCUCACAAAGUGCUGGGAUUACAGGCGUGAGCCACCGCGCCUGGCCAGAAAGUGCAAUAUCACCCUAAAAAUAAAAGUUUACAAUACUGAAAGAAAAUAAUGCCCUUUUCAGUCUUCUAAUCAAGAUCCUUACUAUUUAAAAUGUGCUCCUGGAACAGCAGCAUCAGCAUCACCUGGGAGCUCUUUAGGUGUGCAGAAUCUCAGCCCCACUCCAGAUCAGCUCAGUCAGAGUCUUCAUUUUGACAUGACCCCCAGGCAAUUCAUUUGCAUAUCACAGUUUGAAAAUCACUGGACUAGAUGACAUAUGUAACUUGAAGAAUUACAGGAAAUAUGAACUUCAACAGCUAUUAAAAAUUUAUAACUGAAAUUGACUAAUUUCAGUUAAUGAUGAUAUUGAUGGGAAAUGAACAGAGAGAAACUAAAAACGUUGUUUGUUAAGAUCUGGAGUAACUUCUGCUGAAGUAUUGCAAUGUCUUUGCAGCAAUAAUUGUAUAUUUAUUUAUUUAUUUAUUUAUUUAUUUAUUUUUUUGAGACAGAGUCUCUCUCUGUCACCCAGGCUGGAGUGCAGUGGCGCCAUCUCGGCUCACUGCAACCUGCACCUCCUGGGUUCACACCAUUCUCCUGCCUCAGCCUCCUGAGUAGCUGGGACUACAGGCGCCCGCCACCACGCCCGGCUAAAUUUUUUUUUUUUUUGUAUUUUUAGUAGAGACGGAGUUUCACCACGUUAGACAGGAUGGUCUCAAUCUCCUGACCUCGUGAUCCGCCCAUCUCGGCCUCCCAAAGUGCUGGGAUUACAUGCGUGAGCCACCGCGCCCACCCUAUUUAUUUAUUUUCAUAGAGACAGAGUCUUACUAUGUUGCCCAGGCUGGUCUCAAACUCCUGGACUCAAGCAAUCCUCCUGCCUCAACCUUCCAAAAUGCUGGGAUUAUAGGUGUGAGCCACUGCAGCAGGCCUGCAGCAAUAAUUUAUCACAUUUCCAAAUACUUUGUGUCUCUCAGUGUGUAUUUCACUUUGCUAAUAUGGGUAACCAGGAAAGAAUGUAGCUUCACCAAAUAAAAGUUAGUAGAAACGAAUUAAGGUCUAGAGUGACCAAAAAAGACUGUUACAUCUAGUAAUCAUCAUAUGUGGGAGCAAGGAAGCAUUGAAACUGCCAUAAAGAAUUUUAUUUCCAUGAAAGUAAGACAAACAACUGUUGUAUAGAAAACUAUCAUAUACUAGUGACUUUGAAUUUCUCGGCUGGGCCCAGUGGCUCAUGCCUGUAAUCCCAGCACUUUGGGAGGCCGGGAUGGGCAUAUCACUUGAGGUCAGGAGUUCAAGACCAGCCUGACCGACAUGGUAAAACCCUGCCUCUACUAAAAAUAGAAAAAUUAGCCAGGUGUGGUGGUUUGCACCUGUAAUCCCAGCUACUUGGGAUGCUGAGGCACGAGAAUCGCUUGAACCUGGGAGGCGGAGGUUGCAGUGAGCAGAGAUCAUGCCACUGCACUCCAGCCUGGGCCACAAACUCCAUCUCAAAAAAAAAAAAAAAAAAAAAUUUCGACACUUCAUCUUAGCCAAAAGGCCAAGAAGUGAUAUGACUUAAAAUUUCUAAUGAUUGUGCUAGUUUUUCUUACUUCAGGGCCUUUGCUUAUGCUAUUCCCUGUUCCUGAUACUCCUUCCUCUCCAACAGAGUUGGCUUAAAUGGUUCAGGUCUCAGCUUGAAUGUCAUUUCCUCAGGGUGGCCUUCCCUGACCCCACAAAGUCAGCUGCUCUUAUGACAUUCUCUCAAAACACUCUGAAUUUCCUCUUAGCUCAACAUACCCAUAACUUCCCCUUACAUUUCUGCCUUCCUCUCUGGACUGUAAGCUCCACCAGUGCAGGGACUUUGUCUCUGUCAUUCUGAACCCACUGACCUCCAUGUAUCUUUAGGAGCUCAAUAAAUAUUAAUUAAAUUAAUAAAUAUUAAAUUAAAUAUUAAUUAAAUCAAUAAAUAUUGAUAAAUAUUAAUUAAAUAUUUAUUUAAUUAAUAUUUAUUAAGAUUUACAAAUGAGUGAAUGGUGGUCCUAGUCAUAUUAAAUGAAGUAUAAUCCUGACUUAUAUUUGUAUAACUCUUUUCUCUUUUUAGUACAUUUUUACUUCUGUUUUCCCAUUUGACCCUCCAAAAACUCAGCUCUACCUGGAGAGUCUCUCUCAGUCCUUAAAGUGCAUAUGAGAUCCCCUAGCUGUUAGGUGUGAGCAUGGACUGGAGGUGGAUGGCCUGCCUUCCCAUCCUAAUUAUGCCACUUCAGAUCUGUGUCUUGGGCAAAUUCCCUCACCUCUUUGUGCCCCAGUGUCUUCGUUUGUGCUUACCUCAUAGGUGUACUAUGAGGAGCAAAUGAAUAUAUAAUGUAAAGAUCUUGAACAGUGCCAGAUACCUAACAAAUGCUAGCUAUCAUUCCAGGAGCAGCAUGAAGAUGAAGAGUAUAGGGGCCAGUAUUACAGAUUAGGCAUCCCCAAUAUUGUGCUGAGUAGAAGAAGCUGGACACAAAACAGCACACACUGUGCAUUUCCAUUACAUGAAGUUCAAGGAUAGGCAAAACUAGCCUAUGAUGACAGAGGUAGGCUAGAACAGUAGUGGGCGGGGGCAAGCACACUGACUGGGAAGUACACAGUAGUCUUCUUGGGUGCUGGAAAUGUUUUGUGUCUUGAUCUGGGUGGUGGUUACACAGGUAAGUAUGUCUACAGAAAUUUUUUUUUUUUUUUUUGAGAUGGAGUCUCGCUCUGUUGCACAGGCUGGAGUACAAUGGCACCAUCUCAGCUCACUGCAACCUCCGCCUCCAAGAUUCAAGCAAUUCUCGUGCCUUAGCCUCCCAAGGAGCUGGGAUUACAGGCAUAUGCCACCAUACCUGGCUAAUUCUAAUUUUUGUAUUUUCAGUAGAUACAGGGUUUCGCCAUGUUGGCCAGGCUGGUCUCGAACUCGUGACCUCAGGUAAUCUGCCCACCUCAGCCUCCCAAAGUGCUGGGAGUACAAGCGUGAGCCACCGCACCCAGCCAGAAAUGUAUUCUUAAGAUUUGUGGCUGGGCACGGUGGCUCACGCUUGUACUCCCAGCACUUUGGGAGCCCGAGGUGGGUGGAUCACAUGAGUUCAGGAGUUCGAGACCACUCAGUGAGCCAGUCAGCUCCAGGGGAACAGAACUCCGACAUCCUCCCUGCCGGGGCCUCACGGUCAGGAUUGCUAGUGAUUGGGAUCUCAGGCUUAUUGAUCUAGUUUGUCUUCAAGUGAUAGAAAUCCAAAGCAAAUAGGCAUAUGCAAAAUCAGAGCCAUUUAUUGGGAGAAUGCUGGUGUGCUUAUGGAACAUAGCCUUGGGAAGUGCAGGGAGGGCCUCAGAGACAAGUGGGCCCUUGGACACUUUCUCCCCUCUCUGCUUUUCCUAGUUUUAUCAGAUCAGCUUUCUCCCCAUAAUGGGGGAUGUGGCUGCCAUUAGUUCCUGAGCCUCAUGCUAGAAAACCUGUAUCCUGCGUCAGUCCAGUCCAGCAAAUCUGAGGGAAAGGCUCUGAUUGGCCCAUUUUGAGUACAAUGCCCAUCCCUAGACCGAUCAACUGUGGCCAUGAGCGUAUGACCAAUAACACCCACUGAAAUUACAUAGUGAUUAGAAAGCAGAAAGGAACAGGUCCCCAAAAGAAGGUGUUGUUCCCAGAAGAAAAGGGGGUGCUGGGCAGGGAAGACAAUAUCACAGAUGUCACAGUGGUGGGACAGAGAGGGAUACAACUAAGUCCAUGAAGGCUGGCCUGUGUCUCUUCUAAUUAAACAUAACUUUCUCAGUCCCUGUUGUCCAGUAAUCCAGAGACAAGGUCAGCAGGAUCCUACCUUUGAGAUCCAACUAACUCAGCAAGUGGUGGGAGGGGCACCAGAGAAACAUCAGGUCCUGUCUCAAGCCAGGACCUUCAGCCCUGUCAACAGGACAGUCCAAGAGAGUGGUGGAAGCUCACCAGGCUGGGCCCCCACAAACCAGUCCUGAUGCCACAACUAACAGGCUGGGCCUCAGUGUCCUCCUCUGUAAAAUGAGAGCUGUUGAGCUACCUGAUUAGAGAGAUAACAUUGAGUUCCUGAAUGCCAAACAGCUUGGAUUUAAAUCUCAGCUCUAGGCCUGGCAUGGUGCCUCACACUUGUAAUCCUAGCACUUUGGGAGGACGAGGCGGGUGGAUGGCUUGAGCCCAAAAGUUUGAGAGCAGCCUAGGCAACAUGGCAAAAUCCCACCUCUACAAAAAAUACCAAAAAAUUAGCCAGUCAUGGUGACGUGCACCUGUAGUCUCAGCUACUCAGCAGGCUGAGAUGGGAGGACCAUUUGAGCCCAGGAGGUUGAGGCUGCAGUGUGCACUCCAGUCUGGGCAACAGAGAGACCCUGUCUCAAAACUCUAUCAAUUCAUCAAUCUUAGCUCUACCCUUAGCAGCUCUGUGGUUUUAGAAACUUUUAAAAAAUUUUUACUUGUUAUUGGCCGGGGGCGGUGGCUCACGCCUGUAAUCCCAGCACUUUGGGAGACUGAGGUGGGCAGAUCAUGAGGUCAGGAGAUUGAGACCAUCCUGGCCAACAUGGUGAAAUCCCGUCUCUACUAAAAAUACAAAAAUUAGCUGGGCUUGGUGGCACAUGCCUGUAAUCCCAGAUACUCGGGAGGCUGAGGCAAGAGAACCCCUUGAACCAGGGAGUUGGAGGUUGCAGUGAGCCGAGAUCUUGCCACUACACUCCAGCCUAGCAACAGAGCAAGACUCUGUCUCAAAAAAUAAAAUAAAAUAAAAUAAAUUUUUACUUGUUAUUUUGAAAAGAAUUUUAAAUUUACAGGAUAUUUUCAGGAGUAAGCCAAAUAACUCCUGUAUACCCUUAACCCAGAAUCUGCAAUUUCUACCAUGUUGCCGCACUUAUUUAGUCAUUCUUUCUCUCUUUUUUUUCUGAGCCAUUUGAGAGUACAUUGCAUAUAUCAUGUCCCUUUACCCUUCACAGUUCAGUGUAUUUCCUAAGAGCAGGGACUUUCUCUUACAUAACUGCAGUGCAGUUAUUAAAUUCAGUAGAUUUAUUAUUGAUAAUGAUACCUUCUCAUUGACAGUUCAUAUUCCAAAUGUGGCCAGUUGUCUUGGCAACCCUCCAGCUUUUUUUUUUUCCCCUCCAAUACUGGAUCCAGGCCAGGAUCAAUGACUGCAUUGAGUUGUCAUGUCAUGAUAUUGGAAUGCUCAUACACUGUUGGUGGGAAUGUGAAAUGGUGUGGCUACUUGGGAAAAUAGUCUGACCGUUCCUCAAAAAGGUAAAUACAGAGUUUCCACAUGACUCCAGCAAUUCCACUCCUGGGUAUAUACCCAACCGAAAUGAAAACAUGUCCACACAAAAACUUGUGUACAAAUGUUCACAGCAGCAUUAUUGAUAAUAGUCAAAAGGUGAAAACUACCUAAAUCUCCAACAAUGAUGAGUGAAUGAACAAAAUGUGGCAUAGCCAUACAAUGGAUUACUAUUUGGCCAUAGAAAGGACUGAAAUACUGACACAAGCUGCAAUGUGGAUGAAACUGGAAAACGUGUGAAGUGCAGAGAGCCAAUCACAGAAGACCACACGUUGUAUGAUUCCAUUUACAUAAGAUGUUCAGAACAGCCAAAUCCAUAAAGACACAAAGUAGAUCAGUGGUUGCUCAAACCUGGGACAGAGCGCACACACGCGCACACGUGUGUGUUAAAAACAACAACAGAAAUCAGCUAGAGGUGCAUGGUGGCUGCCCUUAGACCUGGCCCGUGCACUCGUUUGCCACAGUCUCCACCAUGCCCUGUUACUCCCCGACACUGCACCUAGGGGCCAGGUCCGUUUAGCACAGCACUUCCAUCUGUGUUCCUCACACCCUGCUGCUUCCCCUCACCGACUUCACACCUGUCCUGCCCCAGAGGAAGUUAAUUUGGUGAUGGCCUAUGUGAAGACAGUCAGUAGGUGGUUCCCGCCUGGAAUCCCAGCACUUUGGGAGGCCAAGACGGGAGGAUCACUUGAGCCCACGGGUUUAAGACCAGCCUGGGCAACAUGGCAAAACCCUGUCUCUAUAAAAAAUACAAAACAUUAGCCAGGUGUGGUGGCAUGAGCCUGUAGUCCCAGCUUCUCAGGAGGCUGAGGUGGGAGAAUCACUGGAGCCUGGGAGGUUGAAGCUGCAGUUAGCUAUGAUCGUGCCACUGCAUUCCAGCCUGGGUGACAGAGCAAGAUCCUGUCUCACAAAAAAAAAAAAAAAAAAAAAAGGAAAGCAAGGGUGAGUCAAUGACAAGAAGGUGUGCAGUGUGGGUGACAAAAACAAGGGGGGAGUCUGCAAGGGGGAGCAGCUUGAGGGGAGCAGAGACUUCAAGGGGAGGAAGCCUGAGUGACUCAGCAAUCAUUGGGGGACAUUAGGGCAGAGGGAGGAAGUACAGGCCGGGUGCGGUGGCUCACGCCUGUAAUCCCAGCACUUUGGGAGGCUGAGGCAGGCAGAUGACUUGAAGUCAAAAGUUCGAGACCAGCCUGGCCAACAUGGUGAAACCCCAUCUCUACUAAAAAUACAAAAAAUGAGCUGGGCGUGGUGGUGCACGCCUGUAAUUCCAGCUACUCAGGAGUCUGAGGCAGGAGAAUAGCUUGGCCCCAGGAAGUGGAAGUUGCAGUGAGCCAAGAUCACACCAUUGCACUCCAGCCUGCAUGACAGAGUGAGACUCUGUCUUGAAAACAACAACAACAACAAAAAAAAAAACAAAAGAAGGAAGAAGUGCAGGAUCCUGGGUGGAACAUGUCGGGGUAUUCAGGCACCAGGCAGGAGGCCAUGACACCCCCCAUUCCCCACCAAGGGAUUCCUGGUGCCAGUGAGGGCUGAGCCAUCAGGGACAGGGACAGGUGCACCCCUUCAGUGGCCAUGUCCCUCCAGGCCGGCCUCCCCAGUGCUGCCCCCAUGGGCCCCGCCUCUUCCAAAGCUUGCACCCCAGGAGACAAUAGAAGCACCUCAUCCUGGCAUUUAGGGACCCUGGGAAUCUGGCCCCACCUUAUCCUUCCAGCCUGUACCUGCUGCCUCCGCUUAUUCAAGACCUAAGUUUCCUGGUGGCCGUGCCCCCCAUGGGGUGGCUGUCAUCCAGGCAGGGGUAUUCCUGGGGAGCCCUUCCCUUCCCUACCUCCAAUGCACCUACAGGGCCCCUACUAUUAAUAGCAGCACCUCUGCCUGGGGCUCCCUGAGAGGCUGGGGUGGGAGAGGGGUGGUCCAGCAGGCAGUAAUCAAUGUCCCCAAAUGGUGGCAAGUGUGUGUGAAUAUGUGUGCCGGUGUCUGUGUGUGUGUGUGUGUGUGUGUGUGUGUGUGUGUCUGUUUGUGUUUGUGUGUGUGUGUGGUGGGAGUUUCUGCACUGUGAUAGGAGGAAAGCACAAGUGGUUCUGGGAUCCAGGGCAGAAGGGGCUCCUCUGUGUCCAGGGCUCAGGGAUGCUCCCCAGAGUACCGGAUAUCUCAGCUAGGACUGAAGGGACAGGAAGUCACUCAGUGCAGGAGAGUAAGGGGGGAACUCUAGGCAGUGGGGACGGUGUGUAGGAAACAUGA
rnacentral:lncRNA from 1 species